AGUGAACGCUGGCGGUAGGCCUAACACAUGCAAGUCGAACGGCAGCACAGUAAGAGCUUGCUCUUACGGGUGGCGAGUGGCGGACGGGUGAGGAAUACAUCGGAAUCUACUUUUUCGUGGGGGAUAACGUAGGGAAACUUACGCUAAUACCGCAUACGACCUACGGGUGAAAGCAGGUGAUCUUCGGACCUUGCGCGAUUGAAUGAGCCGAUGUCGGAUUAGCUAGUUGGCGGGGUAAAGGCCCACCAAGGCGACGAUCCGUAGCUGGUCUGAGAGGAUGAUCAGCAAAACUGGAACUGAGACACGGUCCAGACUCCUACGGGAGGCAGCAGUGGGGAAUAUUGGACAAAGGGCGCAAGCAUGAUACAGCCAUACCGCGUUGGUGAAGAAGGACUUCGGGUUGUAAAGCCCUUUUGUUGGGAAAGAAAAGAAGCAGGUUAAUACCCCGCUGUUCUGACGGUACCCAAAGAAUAAGCACCGGCUAACUUCGUG
rnacentral:rRNA from 1 species